GACGAACGCUGGCGGCGCGCUUAACACAUGCAAGUCGUACGGUAAGGCCCUUUCGGGGGUACACGAGUGGCGAACGGGUGCGUAACACGUGCGUAACCUGCCCACAACUUUGGGAUAACGCUAGGAAACUGGUGCUAAUACUGGAUAUGUGCUCCUGCUGCAUGGUGGGGGUUGGAAAGCUCCGGCGGUUGUGGCUGGACUCGCGGCCUAUCAGCUUGUUGGUGGGGUAGUGGCCUACCAAGGCGGCGACGGGUAGCCGGCCUGAGAGGGUGACCGGCCACAUUGGGACUGAGAUACGGCCCAGACUCCUACGGGAGGCAGCAGUGGGGAAUAUUGCACAAUGGGCGCAAGCCGGAUGCAGCAACGCCGCGUGCGGGAUGACGGCCUUCGGGUUGUAAACCGCUUUCAGCAGGGACGAAGCUUUUUGUGACGGUACCUGCAGAAGAAGCACCGGCUAACUACGUG
rnacentral:rRNA from 1 species